AACCGGAUUACUGGGCUAGGCCGGAUUGUAAUCUGUAGAAGGUGCCUCGGGCGCGAUACCGGUCCAAGUUCCUUGGAACGGGGCGUCAUAGAGGGUGAGAAUCCCGUACGCGGCCGGCAGUCAAGCCCGUGCGAGGCCCUUUCGACGAGUCGAGUUGUUUGGGAAUGCAGCUCUAAAUGGGUGGUAAAUUUCAUCUAAAGCUAAAUACCGGCCAGAGACCGAUAGCGCACAAGUAGAGUGAUCGAAAGAUGAAAAGCACUUUGGAAAGAGAGUUAAACAGUACGUGAAAUUGUUGAAAGGGAAGCGCCUGCACCCAGACUCGCGCGCGGGUGUUCAACCGUCCUUCGGGGCGGUGCGCUCUCCCGUGCCCGGGCCAGCAUCGGUUCGGGCGGCCGGAUAAAGGCCCCGGGAAUGUGAUUCCCUUCGGGGAAUGUUAUAGCCCGGGGUGUAAUGCGGCCCGCCUGGACCGAGGACCGCGCUUUUGCUAGGAUGCUGGCGUAAUGGUUGCCGGCGACCCGUCUUGAAACACGGACCAGUAAGUCCCUCUCCCCCUCUCCCCGAACGAGCAGUUAUUUGAAAUAGGUACUUAUGCUAAUAUUUUUUGCAGAGGAGUCGACCAACCGCGCGAGUGUUUGGGCGUAAAACCCAUACGCGCAAUGAAAGUGAAAAUGGUAUGAGCUUCGGCGCAAUAUCGACCGAUCUUGAAAUUUAUGGAUGGAUUUGAGUAUGAGCGAAGUUGGUCGGACCCGAAAGAUGGUGAGCUAUGCGCGAAUAGGGUGAAGCCAGAGGAAACUCUGGUGGAGGCUCGCAGCGGUUCUGACGUGCAAAUCGAUCGUCAAAUUUGCGUAUAGGGGCGAAAGACUAAUCGAACCAUCGGGGGUAUAAACUACUAGGUGGUUAAUGGACGAGUCUCGGGACGUAUCGUCACCCGGGGCAACAUCGCUACUCCCAUGGAUCCUUUCGAAGGAAACAUGUACCGGAACCCCCCACUUCGGUGGAUUUCGAUCACAGACCAAAUGGCGGUGGCCUGCCGGGGCAGGUUCUAACAUGGUCGAGCCCCUCCCUUUUCAAAGGGAGUUUUGGAACAGCGCUAGUAGCUGGUUCCUGUCGAAGUUUCCCUCAGGAUAGCAGCAACGAAAACAGUCUCAUGAGGUAGAGCGAACGAUUAGAGGCCUUGGGGCUGAAACAGCCUUAACCUAUUCUCGAACUUCGAAUAUGUGAGAAGUCCUUGUUACUUAGUUGAACGUGGACAUUGGAUGAAUCGUGCUGC
rnacentral:rRNA from 1 species